rnacentral:rRNA from 1 species
UUCCAAGUAUCGGCAACAGCUUUAUCAAUACCAUGAAAAAUAUCAACCACACCAGAAGCAGCAUCAGUGACGACAUUAGAAAUAUCCUUUGCAGUAGCGCCAAUAUGAGAAGAGCCAUACCGCUGAUUCUGCGUUUGCUGAUGAACUAAGUCAACCUCAGCACUAACCUUGCGAGUCAUUUCUUUGAUUUGGUCAUUGGUAAAAUAC